GCUCCGGUGGUCUAGUGGUUAUAGCGUCCGCCUCGUAUGCGGAGGUCGUGGGUUUGAUCCCAGGCCGAGUCA